rnacentral:lncRNA from 1 species
AGUCCUUCGCCGUCCCUCGCCGUCCUUCGCCAUCGCACGCCACCGCACCCCAUCUCUCGAAAUCUGCAGACAUCUUGAUUUUUCCCACGCUGUCUGUCAGGUCUCCGCCGCCACUCGACGCCAGGGCGCCGGGCCUUGUGGGCUGUGCUGCACCUCGGACGGCUUCGCACCAGCCAGCGCCCUCUCUCUCCUGCAGCACUCUGAUCUGCACCCCCUGAGGGGCUUCCACUGUCCGCGGGGUGAGAAUGCCCCUGGGAGUGUCACAUGACUGCCGCCCCAUGUGUGUGAGAGGCGUCCUCUGGGAGAGCAUGGAUCCUGAGGUCCCAGGAACAUCCCGAGAGCCAAGUUCCCAGAUGCCAGCCAAGGGCCAUCUGACCUGUUUUGAAUCUCAAUUUCCUGAUACAGAAAACAAAGGAUUGUCAGCUGACCUCUGUCCUGUGUGCCCAGUGGCCCCAGGUGACGUGUCUUCAAGAAGAGGCUGAGCUGCGGUGCUUGUAAGGGUCUCAUUCUGUCACCCAGGCUGGAGUGCAGUGGUGCAAUGAUGGCUCACUGCAGCCUCGACCUGGGCUCAAGUGAUCCUCCACCUCAGCUUCCUGAGUAGCUGGGACCACAGAUGGGUCUGCUGUGUGCAGAGGCUCCAUGGGAUGUGUUGUCUUCAUAGUAGCAGGGCGCUGGACCAUGGGUCCGCAAGGUCUCAGCCUUAGAUCCAAGGACAGUCCAAGGAAGUCCUAAGACCAUGGAGUUGGUGAUCUGGGAUCUGGGUUUGCUGAUAUUUCUCACCGUGAAUCUCUUGGUGGUGUUUGUGGGCACGAGAGGGGCAGAGAAUGGAGAGUGAGGCUACCACAUGAAGCGUCACCAGAGCUGCUCCCUGCUGCCUGCUCAGAGCACCCCGGAUCCACUGUUCAAUCUGCACAAGAUUCGGGGUCCAGACAUGGGAGACUUCAGCUGCCUCAGAGGACCGUGGACAGGGAAGGCCAGCCUCGCAUCCCUCUGUCCAUGCCUGGAAUGACUUUAAUAACCAAGAGUUUUAUUUUUGAAUUUGUAGCUGUCGUUCACUUUUUACCCACCCAUUCAAUAAACCUUACAGAAUUGCUCCA